AUCGUCACUGCCAGUAGCACCGAAUCCCCUGUGCACCACCCAUGACUGGAGUGGGUGACCUUCGUCGACCGGUUGAAGACCAAGGGCUACUUCAUCAAACCGCCGCCGGCUGCAGAGGAUGGCGAGACUGACCGCGUUUAUACUGACAUGAAUCAAUUGAGGGAUGCUCGCCUUAGCUUUGCUAGUGACUGGUUUGAUAUAUUCAAGUGGGGUUGUCUGUUAGUGGGGUGCUACUGCUGGCGUUUUUGUGGAUGUUGAAGGCAGUUCUUGAGGAUGAUCCUUGCUAUGCUUAUCCAGCCUAUAAGUGCUAUAGAACUGUUGAAAAGAACAAGCCAGAGAAUGAACAACUUCACUUUUGGUGUCAGUAUUGGAUUUUGGUGGCUGUUUUGACGGUAUGUGAACAAGUUGGUGAUACAAAAAGAAAUUUUAGUAACCCGAGAUUCAACCAGAGGCUUUAAUUUCAUUCAUGGAUUGAUAGAUCUAAUUGCUCUUGCUACUGCUAUUGCUACUACUCCUACUCAUGCUCUUGCUACUGCUACUGCUACUACUAGUGAAAAUGAAGCUGCUACUGAACCAAGAACAUAUUUAGCAACAAAGAAGAAAAAGAAGUUUGACGAAGAGAUCUGAGAUUCUCUCUCUUAGCAACGUGUAAAAGAAAGAGUAUGAGUGCAGUAGC